GAUGAACGCUAGCUACAGGCUUAACACAUGCAAGUCGAGGGGAAACGACAUCGAAAGCUUGCUUUUGAUGGGCGUCGACCGGCGCACGGGUGAGUAACGCGUAUCCAACCUGCCCAUCACUUGGGAAUAACCUUGCGAAAGUAAGACUAAUACCCAAUGAUAUCCCACGAAGGCAUCGGAAUGGGAUUAAAGAUUUAUCGGUGAUGGAUGGGGAUGCGUCUGAUUAGCUUGUUGGCGGGGUAACGGCCCACCAAGGCAACGAUCAGUAGGGGUUCUGAGAGGAAGGUCCCCCACAUUGGAACUGAGACACGGUCCAAACUCCUACGGGAGGCAGCAGUGAGGAAUAUUGGUCAAUGGGCGAGAGCCUGAACCAGCCAAGUAGCGUGCAGGAAGACGGCCCUAUGGGUUGUAAACUGCUUUUAUAAGGGAAUAAAGUGGGUCACGUGUGACUUUUUGCAUGUACCUUAUGAAUAAGAACCGGCUAAUUCCGUG
rnacentral:rRNA from 1 species